rnacentral:rRNA from 1 species
UACGUAGGUGGCAAGCGUUGUCCGGAUUUACUGGGCGUAAAGAGCGCGCAGGCGGUCGUUCAAGUCGCGUGUGAAAGCCCCCGGCUCAACUGGGGAGGGUCACGCGAUACUGAUCGACUCGAAGGCAGGAGAGGGUAGUGGAAUUCCCGGUGUAGUGGUGAAAUGCGUAGAUAUUGGGAGGAACACCAGUGGCGAAGGCGGCCCACUGGACCGGUACUGACGCUGAUGCGCGAAAGCGUGGGGAGCAAACAGG